AGAGACAGCAGUCGCCGCGGUAAAACAGAGGUCCCGAGCGUUGUUCGGAUUCACUGGGCGUAAAGGGUGUGUAGGAGGUUUGGUAAGUCAGGUGUGAAAUCCCGCAGCUCAACUGCGGAACUGCAUUCGAUACUGCCGAACUAGAGGCUUGGAGGGGGAAGCGGAAUUCUUGGUGUAGCGGUGAAAUGCGUAGAUAUCAAGAGGAACACCGGUGGCGAAGGCGGCUUCCUGGACAAGUCCUGACUCUGAAACACGAAAGCCAGGGGAGCGAAUGGGAUUAGAUACCCCCGUAGUCCCUGUCUCUUAUAA
rnacentral:rRNA from 1 species